rnacentral:tRNA from 1 species
GGUUAUGUAGUUUAUGUUAAAAUUUGAGUUUGCAAGACUUAAGAUCUUAUUAAGUGUGGCUU